UACGAAGGGAGCUAGCGUUGUUCGGAAUCACUGGGCGUAAAGCGCACGUAGGCGGGUGGGUCAGUCAGGGGUGAAAUCCCGGAGCUCAACUUCGGAACUGCCUUUGAUACAGCACGUCUUGAGUCCGAUAGAGGUGGGUGGAAUUCCUAGUGUAGAGGUGAAAUUCGUAGAUAUUAGGAAGAACACCGGUGGCGAAGGCGGCCCACUGGAUCGGUACUGACGCUGAGGUGCGAAAGCGUGGGGAGCAAACAGG
rnacentral:rRNA from 1 species